GACGUAGGGCGCGAGCGUUGUCCGGAUUUACUGGGCGUAAAGAGCUCGUAGGCGGCUUGUCGCGUCGUUCGUGAAAACCCGGGGCUCAACUCCGGGCUUGCGGGCGAUACGGGCAGGCUAGAGUUCGGUAGGGGAGACUGGAAUUCCUGGUGUAGCGGUGAAAUGCGCAGAUAUCAGGAGGAACACCGAUGGCGAAGGCAGGUCUCUGGGCCAUAACUGACGCUGAGAAGCGAAAGCAUGGGGAGCGAACAGG
rnacentral:rRNA from 1 species